GCCCGGGUAGCUCAAUCGGAAGAGCGUGUGGCUUUUAUUAAGCUUGAUGGAAUGCUGGCUGCUGAAACCUCAAGGUCGCGAGUUCGAACCUCGCCUCGGGCU